UAAGCAAUUAUACUGUGAAACUGCGAAUGGCUCAUUAAAUCAGUUAUCGUUUAUUUGAUAGUACCUUACUACUUGGAUAACCGUGGUAAUUCUAGAGCUAAUACAUGCUAAAAACCCCGACUCACGAAGGGGUGUAUUUAUUAGAUUAAAAACCAAUGCCCUUCGGGGCUCUUUGGUGAUUCAUAAUAACUUCUCGAAUCGCAUGGCCUUGCGCCGGCGAUGGUUCAUUCAAAUUUCUGCCCUAUCAACUUUCGAUGGCAGGGUCUUGGCCUGCCAUGGUUACAACGGGUAACGGGGAAUAGG
rnacentral:rRNA from 1 species